rnacentral:rRNA from 1 species
CGUGUAGGCGGUUUCGUAAGUCGGAUGUGAAAGCUCCUGGCUCAACUGGGAGAGGCCAUUCGAUACUGCGGGACUUGAGGACGGGAGAGGGACGUGGAAUUCCCGGUGUAGUGGUGGAAUGCGUAGAUAUCGGGAGGAACACCAGUGGCGAAGGCGACGUCCUGGCCCGCACCUGACGCUAAGACGCGAAAGCGUGGGUAGCGAACG